rnacentral:lncRNA from 1 species
ACAAAGAGAGACCUGCAAAAUUAUCACCGUAACUUAAGAAGUUCUAUAAAGGAUUCAGAUGCUCAGAUGUUCAUUGAUAACCUCACAAAAAGGAAGAAAAUCAAUCCAGGAUUUUUCUGUUCCAACAUUAUUCAGCAAACUUGUAAUAUGAAAGCAAUGUCUUUUGGAACCUUCAUGUUUCAUUUUCUAGUUUUUUUUUCUCAGAGUGCAAUAUGAAAGCACUCUAGUAAGAUGUCAAUGAUUUGUACACUUAUUUAUGUCUUUGCAAUGUGGAGGACAGAAUUAUGGAGUCCCUAGAAUUAUUUGUACUCCAUUAAGAUGCAUGUUUAUGGCUUCAGUGUUACCUUUGCAAUGUUUCCAGAAUUAUGUAUUUCUAAUGUUCAAAGGCUUCAGUGUCUUCUUUUGAAUCCUUGUAUCAUCAAAAUCUGGACAGAACUAUCUGUUCUAUUUCUUGUUUUUGUUGUUUAUGCAGCAUGUUAGAAGAAAUUCAGAGAAUUUCUGUUCCAACAUUAUUCAGCAAACUUGUACUCUGAUCUUUCUUUCUUUGUUGGUACAAGAAAGCAUACGAUUGUCUACUUUGUAUACUCCAAGUUCCCUUGACUAAACAAACUGAAGUGCUGGAAUGGAUUCAGAAGUAUCACAUCGAUCUUUUCACUUUUCACAGAACAAAAGAGCUCAGGAAUUCAUUCAAAGACAGACCCAAAACAUUGACUUAUAUCAAGUAAUUACAUCAGGGAACGCUGCAGCUUGCUCGUACAGGAGGAGGACGCCCUCGUGUCUGCAUCAGACGCGGGGUUGCGCACCCUCGCCGCAGUCUGGGAAAAGAACACCGGAGUCCCUAGGGCUGCUCGCACGAGGGUGGCCUCGUCUCCGCAUCCAGCGCCGGAUCGAGCAUCCUCGUCCGCCGCCUCCGUCGGGGCGGGGCUGCUGCUCCUCUGACGGCACAAGGACGAACUUGAAGCGCUCGAGGAGGUCGUCUAAGGAGGGACGACGGCCGCAGAGCAGAAAUAGAUCGAGCGAGCUGCCGGCGUUCAUCUUGGCGUCGUCUCCGGCAGGAAAGAACUGAACAGGGGAUGGGGAUGAUUUGAGGACUUGCAGGUGCUUGGUUCGU